UCCGAAAUGGUGUAAUGGUCAACAUCGCUGUCUCUCAAUUGCACAGCAGCUCGGGGUUCGAUUCCCCGUUUCGGAG